CGGUUCUGCUCAGCUGCCUAACGGUUUUGGGCAGCCAUUUUCUCCCGGGAGAGGCUGGAGUGUCCAAAAGCUUGGCCGACUGAGAUUUCUAGUCGUGUCAGGGCGGGUGCAGGGACUGAAGAAGGGCAAGGGCGAGCGGCGGGGACUGGGGAAGGGCGAGUGGCGGGGACUGGGGAAGGGCGAGCAGCGGGAGGCACGGGCUCUCUCUAGCAGGUGGCUGCAGCCAUGGAGAGGCUCUGUGCCACCGCUGUCAAGGGCCAGACGGGCCCAGAGCGCCCAAGCCCCUUCAGUCAGCUGUUCUACACCAACAACGACUCUUACGUGAUUCACCAUGGGGAUCUCAGGAAGAUCCACAAAGCUGCCUCCCGGGCCAAGCCUGGAAGCUGGAGAGGAUGAUGAAGAAGACGACAAUGGACCUGAACAUAAGAGAUGCGAAGAAGAGGACUGCUCUACACUGGGCCUGUGCCAAUGGCCAUGCAGAAGUAGUAACACUUCUGGCAGAUAGAAAGUACCAGCUUGACGUCCUUGAUGGUGAAAACAGGACAACUCUGAUGAAGGCUCUGCAAUGCCAGAGGGAGGCUUGUGCAAAUAUUCUCAUAGAUUCUGGUGCUGAUCCAAAUAUUGUAGGUGUGUAUGGCAACACAGCUGUCCAUUAUGCUGUUAACAGUGAGAAUUUGUCAGUGGUGGCAAAAUUGCUGUCCUGUGGUGCA
rnacentral:lncRNA from 1 species